ACGCUGGCGGCACGCCUAACACAUGCAAGUCGAACGAAGUAGCAAUACUUAGUGGCAGACGGGUGAGUAACAUGUAGGUAUCUGCCCUUUGGCCUGGAAUAACACGAGGAAACUUGUGCUAAUACCGGAUAAGUCUUUACGGAGAAAGCUUUAUGCACCAUUGGAUGAGCCUGCACUUGAUUAGUUUGUUGGUGGGGUAAUGGCCUACCAAGACUGUGAUCAAUAGCUGAUUUGAGAGGAUGAUCAGCCACAUUGGGACUGAGACACGGCCCAAACUCCUACGGGAGGCAGCAGUGGGGAAUCUUGCACAAUGGAGGAAACUCUGAUGCAGCGAUGCCGCGUGAGUGAAGAAGGCCCUUGGGUUGUAAAGCUCUUUCGUCGGGGAAGAAAAUGACUGUACCCGAAUAAGAAGGUCCGGCUAACUUCGUGCCAGCAGCCGCGGUAAUACGAAGGGACCUAGCGUAGUUCGGAAUUACUGGGCUUAAAGAGUUCGUAGGUGGUUGAAAAAGUUGGUGGUGAAAUCCCAGAGCUUAACUCUGGAACUGCCAUCAAAACUUUUCAGCUAGAGUAUGAUAGAGGAAAGCAGAAUUUCUAGUGUAGAGGUGAAAUUCGUAGAUAUUAGAAAGAAUACCAAUUGCGAAGGCAGCUUUCUGGAUCAUUACUGACACUGAGGAACGAAAGCAUGGGUAGCGAAGAGGAUUAGAUACCCUCGUAGUCCAUGCCGUAAACGAUGUGUGUUAGACGUUGGAAAUUUAUUUUCAGUGUCGCAGGGAAACCGAUAAACACACCGCCUGGGGAGUACGACCGCAAGGUUAAAACUCAAAUGAAUUGACGGGGACCCGCACAAGUAGUGGAGCAUGUGGUUUAAUUCGAAGAUACGCGCAGAACCUUACCAACACUUGACAUGUUCGUCGCGACUCUAAGAGAUUAGAGUUUUCGGUUCGGCCGGACGAAACACAGGUGCUGCAUGGCUGUCGUCAGCUCGUGUCGUGAGAUGUUGGGUUAAGUCCCGCAACGAGCGCAACCCUCACUUUUAGUUGCCAUCAUUAAGUUGGGCACUCUGAAAGAACUGCCAGUGAUAAGCUGGAGGAAGGUGGGGAUGACGUCAAGUCCUCAUGGCCCUUACGUGUUGGGCUACACACGUGCUACAAUGGUAUCUACAACAGGAAGCAAGACUGCGAAGUUAAGCAAAUCCCUAAAAGAUACCUCAGUUCGGAUUGCACUCUGCAACUCGAGUGCAUGAAGCUGGAAUUACUAGUAAUCGUGGAUCAGCGUGCCACGGUGAAUGCGUUCCCGGGUCUUGUACACACCGC
rnacentral:rRNA from 1 species